GACUUUUUUACUUCUGUUUAGUCACAACCCUUGUCCUUGUCAAAAAUCAGAAAGUCUUGAAAGUGUAUUUUAAUUUUUAGUGGAAAAUUUCUUCAAUAGGAAGUGGCAGACCUGGAUUAUCCAACAUAUUAAAUACUUUUCUCAAAGUACCAAUUUAUACAGUCGUGAGAGGUUUGAAAAUGGUUCGUACCUACUACAGAAAGACUGAAAAGGUGCCUAGAGAAAAAUUGAUUGGUGCACUGAGGCACUUGAAAUUACUCGAUAAUCUUAAUUUGCAAAAGAUAGCAUAUAGAAAAGUAGCCGAAGGUUUUGACAUUCCUAAGUCAACCCUUUUCAGUCACUAUCAAAAAGUGAAAGAUCUUGAUUCCAUCCCUGAAAACUAUUUGUCGAAUGAAGUGCAUAACAGACAAAUCCUU